AGAAGAGUCACGCUGAGAGGAAACA
rnacentral:miRNA from 1 species